rnacentral:rRNA from 1 species
UACUCGAGCGGCGAGCGGGUGAGUAACACGUGAGUAAUCUGCCCUGCGCUCUGGGAUAGCCACCGGAAACGGUGAUUAAUACCGGAUAGGACCACUUCACGCAUGUGAUGGUGGUGGAAAGUUUUUUCGGCGCAGGAUGUGCUCGCGGCCUAUCAGCUUGUUGGUGAGGUAACGGCUCACCAAGGCUUUGACGGGUAACCGGCCUGAGAGGGUGACCGGUCACACUGGGACUGAGACACGGCCCAGACUCCUACGGGAGGCAGCAGUGGGGAAUAUUGGACAAUGGGCGGAAGCCUGAUCCAGCAACGCCGCGUGAGGGAUGACGGCCUUCGGGUUGUAAACCUCUUUCAGUACCGACGAAGCGAAAGUGACGGUAGGUACAGAAGAAGGACCGGCCAACUACGUGCCAGCAGCCGCGGUAAUACGUAGGGUCCGAGCGUUGUCCGGAAUUAUUGGGCGUAAAGGGCUCGUAGGCGGUUUGUCGCGUCGGGAGUGAAAACACCGGGCUUAACUCGGUGCUUGCUUUCGAUACGGGCAGACUAGAGGUAUGCAGGGGAGAAUGGAAUUCCUGGUGUAGCGGUGAAAUGCGCAGAUAUCAGGAGGAACACCGGUGGCGAAGGCGG